GGAGUUAGCCGGUGCUUCUUCUGUGAGUGAUGUCCUUCCUGCCGGCUAUUAACCCGCAGGCCUUCUUCCUCACUGAAAGUGCUUUACAACCCGAAGGCCUUCUUCACACACGCGGCAUGGCUGGAUCAGGGUUGCCCCCAUUGUCCAAUAUUCCCCACUGCUGCCUCCCGUAGGAGUCUGGGCCGUGUCUCAGUCCCAGUGUGGCUGAUCAUCCUCUCAGACCAGCUACGGAUCGUCGCCUUGGUGAGCCGUUACCUCACCAACCAGCUAAUCCGACAUAGGCUCAUCCGAUAGCGCGAGGCCCGAAGGUCCCCCGCUUUCCCCCGUAGGGCGUAUGCGGUAUUAGCCUGGGUUUCCCCAGGUUAUCCCCCACUACCGGGCAGAUUCCUAUGCAUUACUCACCCGUCCGCCGCUCGCCACCAGGGAGCAAGCUCCCCGUGCUGCCGCUCGACUUGCAUGUGUAGCNCGCCGCCAGCGUCAUCUGAACCAAGAUACAACUACUGA
rnacentral:rRNA from 1 species